rnacentral:lncRNA from 1 species
GAAAAAUGAAUGUAAAUAAAACCUGAUGUGAACUCUAGCUUAACCCUUGUCCCCAGGUCUGGCUGAGAUUAAAGAUGAGUCAUUUACUGUGGCAUGAUGGUAAAAACAAGCAUCUGGAUUGGUUUCCUGGCAUGUGAGAAGCCACACUGUGUACACUGCAGUUCCUCAUGCUGAGUUGCUGCCUGUGACGUGUCUGUGGCCUUCACCUGUCUGGCUGUGCACACCUGCGAACAAGGAAGAGAUGCUUCAUUCCUGUGCGAGAGAAACUCUGCUGAGGGACUUAACGUUGCUGGUAAACACUCUUUUCUUGAAAGCUGAUAUUUAAUGUUUUUAUCCGUCUCCUAGCAAUAUUUGCAGCUGAAACAAAUGUCGUAUCAACAUUUUUGAGUCAAAGCUCUUGAAGACUGUGAGGAACUUCAGAGCAACCUGACAAAUUCAGGUGGGUAGAUCAUUCAAAAUCAAAUAGAAUUAGUUAGUGAAAAUAAAAGGUGAUGGAUAUCCGUGGAAAUAGUUUGA